rnacentral:lncRNA from 1 species
GGGUGUCUACCUGUUGUUGUUCACAAUUUCGACUCGCAUCAGUCCUAUGAGCAGCAACCUUUGCAUGCGUGUCAGAAUACCAGCACAACAAUAUCAUGCAUGGGUGUGUCACUUUCGAACACCUACUUAAGGGCAGCAGAACUCAAAGGUCUUGGUAGACGAGGCUCUCUUUGCGCACUGCGUGGUGCGCGACACCGAAAUGCCGUUGUACCCGCCGAAGUAAACCUCCUCCUGGUUCGCGCCGCCACACGACGUGCCGCAGUUUGCCUUGUCCAGCAAAGCGUUGAUCUUAUCAGCAGUGUUGGCAUUGCAGUUGGCCAUUGCCUCGUAGCAGCUAGAUACUGAGCCUGAGCUGCCGGUAGAGCAGUCGGAACCGCCCACCGACUGGUCACCGCUGGGCGGUGGCGGCGGGGCGGACUGGCCGGGCGUCAGAGGCGUGGUGUAGUCGAAGUUCACCCACUUAUAGAUUUGCUCGUCGGUCGGGCAGUCAUCAAUGUAGUUGUCCGGGUCAGGGCACUUCAUGACAGCGCCGCCCUCCGCCUCAAGGUCUGUGAUCAAGGAUCAUGUGCGAAAGCGUCAGCAAAUGUGCGGCUUGUUGAUGACAGCAUCUGUCCCUCUAGCCUCCAACCAACAACUCAUGCGGCAUGCUAUGUGGUACGACCAGCCCCGAGCGCCCGCCACUCACAGUACUUGACGCCGUCAUCCAGCAGGCGCCGGCCCGAUGUGCCCGUGGAGAACAGCCCGUCCAGCAUCGCGUUAGUUGGUGGCGUUCACCAGCUCCCAGUUGUUGCGCUCCAGAACCAGGAUGCCCGAGGCGGUCUGAAACCGGACCACGUGGCCGCCAGUGGUCUUGGGGAUGCGCGCCACGCCUUGCACGUCCACAGAGUACAGGCCGCCGCCGGGGCUCACAAACUGCGGGGGACGGAUGGCAAAGAGGGUUACCCGGGCGUUUAGGAGUCUGCGUGUGGCACUUUACACUUCCGCAAGCAAUUUCCAUUGGUGGAUCCCGCAAUGCUUUCUUACCACCAGGUUGCGCAGCUUCAGCAGCAGGUCGAAGGAGGUCUCAGAAGAAAUGGCGCUGCGAGUGACCGCGGGCGUGGUGGCGAUGGUGCUGUUGGAGGUGCGAGACACCAGCUUGCCGUCCGAAGAUACAGUCAUGUCCAGGUUCGCCGUCAGCACCGGCGUGGACGCGCCAUCAUUGGUGGUCAUGACGCCGCUGUUGUCGACCUGCGUGUCCUUCAACGCUGCCACCACCGCCCACGUGAGACCAAACAUGGCGCCCAGCAGGAUGAUGGUGAAGAUACCCAGGACGAUGAGACCGAUUUUGAAGGCCUUGGACUUGAACUUCUCAGCCACAAGCGUGGACACCACCGCCUGGAUCUCGCUUGCGUCGAUGCGCCCGUCUGAGGGAAGCGGGAGGGACGGCACUCUGAUGCGAUGAGGCUUGCUUGGACACCCGUACGUGGGCAGGACCCACGCGCCCCCGGAGCUCCCCGUGCUGCUUCGAGCACGCAGCCCCUUCUGCCCAAUGCCCCCAUCCAGCAAGGCUGCUGCGACUCACCCCCGUUGUCAUCAAACUUCUUCAACACGUUCCGUGUAGGCGUGUUGAAGCCUGCGCAGGGAGAACAAGGAAAGACACUUCUGUAAUUGGAAGGGUUGUGGCAGCACAUGCUAGGAGACACGGCGUCGAAGGAUACAGACGGCAACUCACGCAACAAUCACACAGCACACGCGACGACACAGCGCGGCCUCCACGUGUCCCUUUCCAGUUAUUGCAAUCCGACUUCCGCGACGUGUCACUGGAAAGCCAGACUGAAAUCAGCUCCCCCGGCCUACUGCACUGGGCACGUGGGUGGCGGGCGAUACCUGCGGCUCCGUGCAACUCCUAUCUAUUCGCCUCCAUCCCCACCAAACAUGCCUGCCACGCCUCACGUUCGAGGGUGAUUUGGUUUCCGCCGCUGGGAGAGCUCCGCUCGCCAUUUGGUACUUCCGCCUUGUCGCCCUUGGCAGGCUGCUCCACGUCGCCGCCCUUCGUGGCCAUGGCUCGAGGCCCUGUCUGGUGAGUGACAAGAGGUGGGCAUCACGUGUACCGCGGUUAACGAGUCGAAAGCAGGCGCCAACUCGCAUCUAGCCUCCUGCAUUACAAUCUUUGCUUCCCAGCUAUUUGGAGCGCCGCUUGCUUGUGCGCGCAUAGCAUGGAAAGGAAGUUCACCUGCCCGCGUUUCAGUCCUUGAUGCGGCUAGGGUACAGCGGGCGUAUAUAGUGCGUGGUUAUGAUUGCAGGCGUCCUUCGCGCGGCGGCCUAAGGCAGCAGGUCCUGUGGGCGCUGGAACGCCCACGUAGGGAGGUUCCGCCAACAGUAUAGAUUGAGCAGGCUAUCAAAAUGACGCUGUCAGCGCAAGCGCACCUGUUAGGACUCAGGAGGUGUGACGAGUCAAAGUCGGGCGCUACCACUCAACUUGUCACUGUUGUUCAUCAAGUUUCUAUUUCUUUACCAUGUGCUACAGAAACAUUUGUUUGUACUAGUAGCGUUGUCACAACAGAACGGGGCGUCUCUCUCUACGACCCGCCGAUGGCGGUUUCUGAGCAAAUAGGAGCCACGGCCAAACCGCUGGCAUAUGACAGACAUACCCCGUGCAAAUUACGGGACUAUACGUGCUCUGACCUGCAGAAUCUUGCUAUUGCGCGCGGCGCGGACUUUGAGCUCGCGGUCCUGGUGUGCGAUGGGAGUGUGAUGGGACAGGGUUCAGGCAGGUUGGCGAGGUCCCAUAGGGUGCAGCUGACGCCCAUACCCCAAGCAGACAGCAAACAGUUUUGCAGCGGCAGAGCAGGAGUGUGCAAUGGGACAGUGGUAAGGCACGUUGAUGAAGUCCCGUAGGGUGCAGCUGAUUCCCAGACCCCAGCAGAUGGCAAACAAUUGACAGGGCAAGGGGCAGGUUGGUGUAGUCCCGUGGCUGGUAUAGCUGAGCGCGGAGAACAAGUUACUCCCAACCCCCGAUCAAACAUGCAAGAACGUCGCCGUGCUUUGGAUACGGUAGGUGUAAGUGUGCGUGGCGUAACUCGACGCAAGCAGCAGUAUCUGCGUGUAUUGCUGGUAGGAGUGGUCAGGAGUGGUUAAAGAGGCUUGCCGCAUUCUGCCUAUGAGAGAGGCGCGAGCAAGAGACAUGUCGUACACUUGGCAGGCGCACGCAGUGGACAUUGACGGCUAGAAGCGGCACUGUCCCUUCCAUCUCCCUAAACCCGGACUUUGUUGUGUUUCCCAGCGAACACGACACUAUCCACAUCAUCGAAGCAACACGAACUUUGCCCCUGCGCCCAGCUAUCAGUGCCGACUGAUCGUGGCCUGCAUCGACGUUUGUUGUAGUCGGUAUCAGGGGGUGGGGCUCUCCUGGUCGAUAUAUGCAAAUUAGCGAGCGGGUGCCCCCCCCCCUGCGCCCCCCCUCAAGCGGGGGGAGGGACACCCUCCCCCCUGCACCCCCCUCCCAUACGAUUCUCUUAGCCCGCCGCUGAGGCACGUCACUUAGGAAGCUGGGGGAGGGGGGUGCAGGGGGGAGUCCGGGCGUCCGGGCUCUUGUAACAAAACUGUUCCGAAAUUUUGGGGGCGCCGGGCAAGCCCCCCCCUCCAAAUCAGUACCCGUGUGCUGCACAUGGCCGCGUGUGUGUGACACGCACACAGCAAGCAGCACAAGAGAUCCGAUAUCGCAAGAUUUUGGGCGUGCCCGCGUGUCAAACCCCCGUGCCACGGUUCAGCCCCUCGCGCGCGACAGCGCGCCCGACCCGCGAAAAUGUCCAUAUGAUUUUUAAUCUCGGGACGGAAUCCUCAAAAAUAUUAUGUAAUUGUUUCGGCGUUCGGCGUCAACUUCGGCGACCCACCCCGAACUUAAGAAUGCGGAUGUUACAGAGGGGACAGUCCCAGCACCCGAAGACGCCGAGCCAUCACAUGCUAUCAGGGCCCAACAUGACUCCACCAACCCCGACUUUGCUGCAAACCCUCCCGCGGGCAAAGUCCGUGUGACUCCGCGCACAGUGAGUCCUAGCCAAGCCUCAACUUAAGAACCCGAAACCUUUUUGGCAGUACGGUAGGGGUACGCACCGGUGGUGGCCGCGGCGCGCUCAGAAACCCUGCGACGUGCCCAGCGAUGAGCGCCCUGCCCAGCCAGUAGGGGCGCACAUCGCUGCAGCACGUCGCUCAGCCCCUCCGCGCCCUGUCCACAAAGGCGUGCACUCCUGCGCGCCCACAACCACAUGGCCUGGACCCUCUGGUGCAUAGCAGCUGACAUGCCACAUGUGCUUCCCGUACCAUAUCAUGACGUUGGCAGCCGGCCUGCGCCCGGUCGCGCGCCGGGGCCGUGACUGGUUUACCGAGGGCGGGCGGCGGCGGUGGUGAUGCAGGGUGAGAGAAAGUGCAGAGAGGGACGUGUGUACAUCAUGCGGGCUUCAUGUCGCCCCUUUUGCUGUCCUCUGUGCCUGAUGCAGGGCUCCUAUCUUAAUGUCUCCAGACAUUAAUUGGCCAUUUUGGCCGUUUCCUAGACAUUCCUCCCGGGGGCUAAUGUCUGGGGCGAGACUUUGUUGGCCCGGGUUUGGGGCGGGUUUUGUCCGAAUUCCUAUGGAGAAGCCCCCAAACCGCCAUGUGCCCAGACAAAAGACGGCGGCCACCCGGCCGUUUUUGUCUGGAGCUAGACAUUACCCCCAAAACAAGAUACGACCCCUGAUGUAUAUCACAGCAUUGUCACAUAGGCCUACGGCCCCUGUGGGCGCCGGUCUAUGGCACAAGAGCUAGCGUCUGCUCGCCUGGCUGCUGGGCAGCGCUCAGGCCCCACUAUCUACGGCGCCGCGGCCUGGGCUCCUGCGUGCUAUGCCCUGCCGGGCGCGACUGCAGUGGCGGCUGCUUGUCUCGUAGUAAAAGCUAUCUGGGAGCCCAGGGGCCGACUGUGGACGCGGCGGAGGGGCCGGGCAGGCCCCGGUGGCCCCGAGGUGGCGCGGCGAGGGUCGCCGGCGACGGCACGGCGUGGCACACCUGCGCCAUGCGGCUGCUUGCCUGUGCGAGUAUUUCAUAAUACUUAUAUAUUAUGUAUGUAUGUUGCGUGUGGGUCGAGUGGCCUCGGGGCUGGUGCAAUGAAUUGUUUUCGCCUUUCCAGCGCGAGCAACCCUCGCGCGAGCCACGCAAGGUCAGGCUACAAGUCGCCACUUUCCUGGCGUCGGUUCCUCCAUAUCCCUAUCAUCACAUACUUUCAUGUAAAAGACCGCAAACAAGAUACCUUGAAGUGGGGGUAGGCCGACUCAUUCCGAGAUGCGGACGCGCCGACCAUGCCGACAUGCCCACACGCGAACCAGCGAUGUGCGCCCUGCUCAGCCAGUAUGCUGUGGGCAUGCGUCUAUGGUCACAAGCCUAGUCCAAGCAGGUUGGGGCAUUUGUGGGGCCGCCACACAGGCGCUGGGCCCGUCUAUGGGCACUGCGCCGUGAGGGGCUGCCGGGCGCCCGGCCACCGCGUGGUCAGGGCACUGCUAGUAAUGUCGGGCUGAGUGCCGUGUUUGCAUGCCACCUAGUGUAGCUUGACACAGCGGGGCGGGGCAGGCGCGCCGCACAGCUUCCGGGGCACUUGUGCUACACAUGCUGCCCCGCAGCAGGUAUGAGCACGCCCACACGCCCACAAAGGCGCGCACUCCUGCGCGCCCACAACCACAUGGCCUGGACCCUCUGGUGCAUAGCAGCUGACAUGUCACAUGUGCUUCCCGUACCAUAUCAUGACGUUGGCAGCCGGCCUGCGCCCGGUCGCGCGCCGGGGCCGUGACUGGUUUACCGAGGGGCGGCGGCGGUGGUGAUGCAGGGUGAGAGGAAGGUGCAGAGAGGGACGUGUGUACAUCAUGCGGGCUUCAUGUCACCCCUUUUGCUGUCCUCUGUGCCUGAUGUAUAUCACAGCCUUGUCACAUAGGCUUACGGCCCCUGUUGGCGCCGGUCUAUGGCACAAGAGCUAGCGUCUGCUCGCCUGGCUGCUGGGCAGCGCUCAGGCCCCUCUAUCUAUGGCGCCGCGGCCUGGGCUCCCGCGUGCUAUGCCCUGCCGGGCGCGACUGCAGUGGCGGCUGCUUGUCUCGUAGUAAAAGCUAGCUGGAAGCCCAGGGGACGACUGUGGACGCGGCGGAGGGGCCGGGCGGGCCCCGGUGGCCCCGAGGUGGCGCGGCGAGGGUCGCCGGCGACGGCACGGCGUGGCACACCUGCGCCAUGCGGCUGCUUGCCUGUGCGAGUAUUUCAUAAUACUUAUAUAUUAUGUAUGUAUGUUGCGUGUGGGUCAAGUGGCCUCGGGGCUGAUGCAAUGAAUUGUUUUCGCCUUUCCAGCGCGAGCAACCCUCGCGCGAGCCACGCAAGGUCAGGCUACAAGUCGCCACUUUCCUGGCGUCGGUUCCUCCAUAUCCCUAUCAUCACAUACUUUCAUGUAAAAGACCGCAAACAAGAUACCUUGAAGUGGGGGUAGGCCGACUCAUUCCGAGAUGCGGACCCGCCGACCAUGCCGACAUGCCCACACGCGAACCAGCGAUGUGCGCCCUGCUCAGCCAGUAUGCUGUGGGCAUGAGUCUAUGGUCACAAGCCUAGUCCAAGCAGGUUGGGGCAUUUGUGGGGCCGCCACACAGGCGCUGGGCCCGUCUAUGGGCACUGCGCCGUGAGGGGCUGCCGGGCGCCCGGCCACCGCGUGGUCAGGGCACUGCUAGUAAUGUCGGGCUGAGUGCCGUGUUUGCAUGCCACCUAGUGUAGCUUGACAUAGCGGGGCGGGCCAGGCGCGCCGCACAGCUUCCGGGGCACUUGUGCUACACAUGCUGCCCCGCAGCAGGCAUGAGCACGCCCACACAGGUGGCCAGGGGCACGCCAUGGCUGGUACUGAGCAUCCGGUGUACUUCAAAACAAGGUUGUCCUGUUGCAGCGUGCCAAAUGCGGCUGCAGUUACCCCCAGCCCACGUUCCGGCUCAGGCGCAGCAAAAUAUCCCGCCGCACGGCGUGCGCCAUUGUUACAGCGUGCGGGGUGAGGUUGCUGUUGCCCCCAGCCCACAUUUCGGCUCAGGCACAGCAAGAUAUUCCGCCGCACGGCAUGCGCCAUUGUUACAGCGUGCGGGGUGAGUUUGCUGUUGCCCCCAGCCCACGUUUCGGCUCAGGCACAGCAAAAUAUUCCGCCGCACGGCGUGUGCCAUUGUUACAGCGUGCGGGGUGAGGUUGCUGUUGCCCCCAGCCCACAUUCCGGCUCCGGCACAGCAAAAUAUUCCGCCGCACGGGAUGUGCCGUUGUCACAGCCUGCGGGGUGAGGUUGCUGUUGCCACGUUAACACUACGUUGCUGAAAAAAGCACCGGCUCCAUGGCUCCAUGGCAAAUUGUGGCCCAUCCCCACGCCAAACCCCAGCGCCCUCACCCAUGCUCAUCAUGCUCACUCACCCACGGCAUGACUCCCCUGGUAGAAGGCUGACCUAUCGUGGUACCCACGCCCCCAUGGUACCAGCAGGACACGGCCGUAGAUUAUCCUGGGAAACCUCAGUCACCCUUGCCUUGGGCCCGGACAAGUGACAGAAACGCCCCAAAAUGUCUUCUGCGAUUCUCAGAAAGACCCUCAAAAUCUGAAGCAUUUUCACAGAUUUUUGGCCACAGGAAUCAAAAUUUCUUCCGCCGGAGGCUAUUUUUGGGCAAAUUUCUGUCGAAAAGAAGGAAGAUACGAGCACUGCCGCUACGGAGGGACAGGUUACCAGCUAGCUCUAAGCCGGCAGAUAGAUGGGAGGAGAGCCGAGGAGAGCCGAGCAGGUAGCCCGCUGCCUGAAGGGCAAAUAGUAUCCGCCUUUCGAGAGAGUCCAAUGAAGGCGUGGAAGCACGAGCGGCUGCAGUCUGAGCCAAGCACUUUCCCAUCAGACAACAAGCAACCAGGCGUGCAGAUGAGCAAUUACAAGCAUUGGAUGGGGCUGUGUGCGGAAGGAGCGGCACCACUGACCAUGCAAGGGCACAGUAGAGCACUUAUACCAGUUGCGCACCACAAGGCCUUGAUGAGGUUCCGCCUAUGCUGCUGGCCGCUUACUGCCAACCGCGCCUAUGGACGACCUAGGGAGGAGAGGAUUUGCCCGCUAUGUGUUGCAAAUGAAGUCGAAGAUGAGAAUCAUGUGCUCAUGCGGUGUACGGCCUACUACCAGUUGCGUUUGGGUAGCGAGAUCGAUUUUACAGGCGGAAUGCAGGCCGUCAUGCAGAAUACGGACCCAGCCAGGUUAGCCGCGUUACUAGAUUCCAUUUGGGAGCACAGGAGCAUAAGCACCCCCAUUCGGGGACCAAACUAGCUGCAUAUAUAAGUGUUGCAGGCGUUAUAAGGGCCCCCCGGCCCGGGCCUCGGUUUCUACAAGGACAGGAAUGCACGUCGUGCUCACCACCUUGUAACCACACACAACAGAUGGGCGUGCGAUGGGACAGUGUCAAGGCAGGUUGGUGAAGUCCCGCAGGGUGCAGCUGAUUCCCAGACCCCACAAGAUGGCAAACAAUUUGCAACGGCAGGGCAGGAGUGCGCGACUGGUCGAACGCCGGAGUUACUGUACCGAAAGUUGCUGGCUGGCUGGAGGUUUGCUGAUGCGCAUUCCUCACGCUCCGGGCGCCCGGGCAGAUAGAUGGGCGUGACAACCGCCCCCGUUACAGUACUGCGUUACCAUAAUCCCGCUGCCUGCAAGCAAGCCACGACUUCGUUCCUCUCCAAACUACUUGAUUGCGCAUUCGUUUCAUAAAGCACCAUCGGUAAUCCAAAGCUCCUGCGGAAGGCUGACUGUGAACUGAGCAUCAGGCGGGGCCGACUGGCAGUUUGCAGCAUGGCAGGAACUUGUCGUCAUUUGCGCGGCAUCUGUGACGCGCAUUCACUCGUGGUGGUAUUUCGUAUAGCUGGAGACGCCAGGAGACGCACAUGCAGCGUGAACCAGGGUUCCGCACUCCGCAGGGUAAGCCACAAGUAAAUCCCACAAUUACCCUGCCCGUCUCUUCGCAGCGGCCCGACAAUCCAGCAUCAGGGGGCUAAGGGAUCGUCUCAUUCGCCUGUGACGUUGUCGGAACAGGGGCAGGCAGGGAUGCCAAAUAAGGGUGUUUGUACAGCUGGAAAAUGGGCUGAGCCCCGCAGCAUCAGGGAGGACUGACUGCAAGACAGAUGAUGUAUGGCCUCACGUGUACCCCAAGUAGUUGGCCACGGUGUGCACACACGCCACAUGCCAUCCACGCGUGCCAUCCCUUUCCACUCAUUCCCAAGCCUCCCUCCCCUUGAACCUUUAGCACAUUUAACAAACCCCGGAUGCCCCACACCCCAACGGGACUGGGGCAUUCGGGCGCGUCGACAGGGGCAGACAGGAGAAGAUGAAAUGGCCGCGGUGCAUGUAGUCAGUGAAUGCCGGUUGCUGUUGGAGCAAGUAGAGGCUCGAGCCCAUACGAGCCGCACCGCACUUACAUAUAAUGCAGCCCAGCUGGGUCUAUCUGCCGGGGGCGCGCCACAAUUUUGGGCCGAGCCUCCGCCCGCAGAAUAGUCUAAACGCAGCAGUCACAUUGCUUAUCCAUUCCCCCUGCAUACCAAGCUUCUGCAGAAUCAAAAAACUACUAAUACUACACGGCAGCCGUAAACGUACAUGAUGCGCAAGUCCUUCCAGCGGUACAACGCAUUCACCAGGGGCUCUAGUGCGUGGCUUGUCAGUGGACCCCCGCCCCAACCCCGGGACGACACUCUUUGUGGUUAGUGCAAGGUCGUAAAACGAAUGAGGCAGCAUGAGGCAGCGGCUGAGUCUAUCAAUAAAAGAAUGGAUGCAGUAUCCUGACAGCCCAGACCAGCACAGGCACCAGGGCAGGCACGGUCGCCAGAGCACGACCGCUCAGUGAGACACCUUGUGCAUGCGGACAUGAACAUCCACUGCGGUACUAUGCCAAACAUGUUCAAUGCAAAGUAAAUCAAAAUAUCGAGACAUCACAAAACGUUGUGUUGAAACAGCUAAAGACCCACUUAAGGGCAGCAGAACUCAAAGGUCUUGGUAGACGAGGCUCUCUUUGCGCACUGCGUGGUGCGCGACACUGUAAUGCCGUUGUACCCGCCGAAGUAAACCUCCUCCUGGUUCGCGCCGCCACACGACGUGCCACAAUACGUCUUGUCCAGCAAGGCGUU